GUGAAUCAUCGAAUUUUUGAACGCAAAUUGCAAUCUCUUCGGAGAGUAUGCCUGUUGAGGGUCAGUAUUAAUAAAAAUCGGUGUGUUGCUUCUUUGCGACGCUCAGGAGUUUGGGUCAUCUUAAUAUCCUUUAGGUUUUAAGAGGCUUAAAAUUGACUUUUUUUGUGAAUUUUAGAUGUACAUAAAUUCUUUUUUUUAUUCGUCUGUCUUAAUGUUGAAAAUUCUAUUAGAUGCGACCAUAUCGUGUGGUUGUGUGUGUAUAAAUUUUUCAUGAUGUGAUCUAGAAUGAGGUAGGAGGACA
rnacentral:misc_RNA from 1 species